rnacentral:lncRNA from 1 species
AGGCCGCGAAGGGCGGGUGGGGCUCGGCCGCUCGCCCGGGAGCUCCACUCGGGCUCCGGCCCGCAGAGGCGGCUCCGGAGGGGCGGGCCGGCUCCACCCCCGGGCCCGCCGCCCGUCCGUCGCGCGCCCGCGCCUCCCAAUUCCCGGAGCCGGGUCGGGGCUCGAGGCGGCGGCGGCGGCGGCUCCACUGGGCUCGGGUUGGCCGGCCAGGCGCGGGGCAGGGCGGGCGGCGGCAGGGCGGUGGAUCGCGCGGAGGGCGGUGGCCUGGCCCGCUGAGCCAUGGCGGCCCCGGAGCCGGCGCCGAGGCGGAGCCGGGAGCGGGAGCGGGAGGACGAGAGUGAGGACGAGAGCGACAUCCUGGAGGAGAGCCCAUGCGGACGCUGGCAGAAGCGGCGCGAGCAGGUGGGCACCGGCGGGGUGACGCCGCUCUCCCGGAGCCCCCGGGGACGCGAGGCCACGCGGGGCCGUGGGGGCCCUGUGGCCGCGCGGCGGCCUCUCCACAACCCACGUCCUGGGUGGCCCUUGGCCCUCUUGCCUGGGACCCACGCCCUGGUGAGGAACCUCCAUUCCCUGAGGACCAGUCUCCUUCAGGAGACUUCCUGGUCCCUCCCCACGACUCUGGGAUUCACCGCUAGACCCUAGGGGUUCACGCUCAAGAACCUGAAGCCGCUUCUAUCCACCUCUGCCCAGCCCCUGGAUAUCACCCCUGGACUGCUGCGGGCCAACCCGGGUCCUGGCCCUCAGCUUUCCCAUAGAGCGCAUCCGGCCCGAAGCGCACUCUGGCCAAGAGAAGGGUGUGAGAGGGACCAAGUCCCCAACCUCGCCCUAACACAAACGGGAGCAUUUGUACCCCGUCCCCAGGUGAACCAGGGGAAUAUGCCCGGGAUCCAGAGCACAUUCCUGGCCAUGGACACGGAGGAGGGGGUAGAAGUGGUGUGGAACGAGCUCCACUUUGGCGACAGGAAGGCUUUCGCAGCCCAUGAGGUGAAUCCCAUCGCCCUCGUCCCCAGUCCUGUCCCGUGAUGGCCCAUGACUGCCCCCCUCCUCCCAGGAGAAGAUCCAGGCCAUGUUUGAGCAGCUGGCGCUGGUGGACCACCCCAACAUCGUCAAGCUGCACAAGUACUGGCUGGAUGCCUCUGAGGCCCGUGCAAGGGUGAGCUACUGGGCGGAGUGGGGGCGGGGCGUGGCCUCGGUCUGGGUGGAGCAACUGCGGGGACCCACCCGCAGUGGCGGAGCCGUGAGCCCGCCCGCCCCACAGGUCAUUUUCAUCACGGAGUACGUGUCAUCAGGCAGCCUCAAGCAAUUCCUCAAAAAGACCAAGAAAAACCACAAGGCCAUGAAUGCCCGGGUAGGGGGAGUAGGCUGGGGACAGGGAAGGGAGGGUGGCCUCUGGGAAAGGGAUGGGACUGGACACCGGUCAGCCCCGGAAAGGGGCGGGGCGGCGGGUGGGCUUCGCAGGCCCUGCCACUUCUCCUGCGCCCACCCGACGGGAGUCCUGCGUCCGCUGCCAGGCCUGGAAGAGAUGGUGCACGCAGAUCCUGUCCGCGCUCAGGUGAGGACCUAGGCUUGUCCGCCUGCUUGCCCUGCUGCGCCGACCUCUCCGGCGCCCUGUGACCCGGCUCCGCCUGCUCUCCCCCAACGCCUGCAGUUUUCUGCACGCCUGCAGCCCCCCCAUCAUCCACGGGAACCUGACCAGCGACACCAUCUUCAUUCAGCAUAACGGCCUCAUCAAGAUCGGCUCUGGUGCUGGCGGGGAGGGGCUGGGCAGGGGGGCAGGGCUGGGGGAACCUGUCGCAAGUCGAGAUCAGAGGACACCCCACGCCCCAGGCCGCUGACACCCGCUCUUUCUCCCUGUGGUCUCCUUCACAGUGUGGUACCGCAUCUUCUCCAAUGGUUCGUGCGGGAUAGGGGUGGGGAUGGGAGCCCUGGUCAGGCCGGUCUGCUCAGCGCCUCUGCCCCUUCUUUAGCGCUCCCGGAUGAUCUAAGGAGCCCCAUCCUUGCUGAGCGAGAGGAACUUCGGAACUUGCACUUCUUCCCACCAGAGUAUGG